GACGAACGCUGGCGGCGCGCUUAACACAUGCAAGUCGAACGGAAAGGCCCUGCUUUUGUGGGGUGCUCGAGUGGCGAACGGGUGAGUAACACGUGAGUAACCUGCCCUUGACUUUGGGAUAACUUCAGGAAACUGGGGCUAAUACCGGAUAGGAGCUCCUGCUGCAUGGUGGGGGUUGGAAAGUUUCGGCGGUUGGGGAUGGACUCGCGGCUUAUCAGCUUGUUGGUGGGGUAGUGGCUUACCAAGGCUUUGACGGGUAGCCGGCCUGAGAGGGUGACCGGCCACAUUGGGACUGAGAUACGGCCCAGACUCCUACGGGAGGCAGCAGUGGGGAAUAUUGCACAAUGGGCGGAAGCCUGAUGCAGCAACGCCGCGUGCGGGAUGAAGGCCUUCGGGUUGUAAACCGCUUUCGCCUGUGACGAAGCGUGAGUGACGGUAAUGGGUAAAGAAGCACCGGCUAACUACGUG
rnacentral:rRNA from 1 species